AUGAACGCUAGCGAUAGGCUUAACACAUGCAAGUCGAGGGGCAGCACAAGGUAGCUUGCUAUCUGGGUGGCGACCGGCGCACGGGUGCGUAACGCGUAUGCAACUUGCCCUAUACAGGAGGAUAACCCGUCGAAAGACGGACUAAUACUGCGUAUGCUCACAACUUGGCAUCAAGUGGUGAGGAAAGAAAUUCGGUAUAGGAUAGGCAUGCGUCCCAUUAGCUUGUUGGUGAGGUAACGGCCCACCAAGGCAACGAUGGGUAGGGGAACUGAGAGGUUUAUCCCCCACACUGGUACUGAGACACGGACCAGACUCCUACGGGAGGCAGCAGUGAGGAAUAUUGGUCAAUGGGCGCGAGCCUGAACCAGCCAAGUCGCGUGAAGGAUGACUGUCUUAUGGAUUGUAAACUUCUUUUAUACGGGAAUAACAAGAGUCACGUGUGACUCCCUGCAUGUACCGUAUGAAUAAGCAUCGGCUAACUCCGUG
rnacentral:rRNA from 1 species